rnacentral:rRNA from 1 species
UACGAAGGUCCCGAGCGUUGUUCGGAAUCACUGGGCGUAAAGGGAGCGUAGGCGGCAUGGUAAGUCAGAUGUGAAAUCCCGGGGCUCAACCCCGGAACUGCAUCCGAUACUGCCUUGCUUGAGGGUUGGAGAGGUAGCUGGAAUUAUCGGUGUAGCAGUGAAAUGCGUGGAUAUCGAUAGGAACACUCGUGGCGAAGGCGAGCUACUGGACAACAUCUGACGCUGAGGCUCGAAGGCUAGAGGAGCAAAAGGG